rnacentral:lncRNA from 1 species
CAGGAGAAGAAAUACUCAGAAAGGACCAGGAGAGUUGAGGGUGAGAAGCACUCUUGUGGAUGACUUUAGGAAGGAAGAAUUGAACAAAAAUGUCAAAUGUAGUAAUAAGGACUGAAAAAUACUCACUAGAGGUUUUGGGGACAUUCUCAAAAGUGGUUGUAGUAGAAUGGUGGGAUAGACGUUGGGCUGAAGAAUAAAAAGAGGAGAAAGUUUGCAUGAGAUUAAAGCAGGUGAGAGGCUGUUUUGUUUGUUUCUGUUUAGGAUGGAAGAGACAUAAGCACACUGAAAAGCAGAAGGAGAAAGGCAAAUGGAAUGGGAGAUGAAGAUAAGCGUGGGGUGGCCAAUGGAGCAAGGCCCAGAGGUGGUGGGAAGGGGGUGAGGGUGAGGAGACCCUGGACAAGAAAUAUACCUCAUCCUCGGAGAUUGGGGGACAGGAUGGUGUGGUCAUGGGGUGAGAAGUCACAGGCUCUCACCUGUAAUCAAUGUAAUUUUGUAGAUGAAUCAGGGCAUAAAGUAGGAGGCACAGCCACCAGCGUAUGAGUGAGGGGAGCAGAUGCCAAAUGGAGGCCCAUGAGGACUGUGGUGAAGGUCUGAACUCUCUACCAACCUGGCCAAGGGCAAGGGAAGGCUCGAUGGAGUGCCGAGGCAGGUGGUCAUGAAUUUGAAUCCUCAUUGGUCUGAGUGGUUCUUUGGCUUUUCUCUAACAUCACUUGGUGGCUAGUAAAUAAAUAAACAGGGAAACGUUUUGUAAUUACCCCAUAGCUCUGUCUCUUUUCAUGGUCCCUUCCCUAUAGUCCUCCUCUUCAGUUCCUUGGCAGACAGAAAUUGUGGUGGAGAAAGCUUGGGUAGUUAGGAUGAGCAUAGUAGCAAGCAUGGGGUAUAUGGUGCACUUGGGGAAGAUGGAAAGAAGAGUGUUGAUACCCAAGAGUCUUACGUGGCAGAAACAUGAAAGGUGGUGUCCACAUGGGCACUGACAGCAUGGUGUGUAGAAACGUGAGAGAUGCCCAUAUGAGGGUUGAGCUGGAGGGAGGAAAAUUGGUGGCAGGGUUGGGAGGGUUUUGAUGGGUCCCUGUGUUCUCUUUUGGCCUUUGGCAUCCUGUUCAGAAUAUCUCAUCCUCACUUUCCCCACGGCCUCUGUCCUGCUUCAGCAGGCAGAUGUCUGGGAUCUUCCCUCCCCUGCUGUUGUGUGUCCUGUGUCCUGGACUUUUCCUCUUGAGUAGCCCUUUGCAUUGUAGCCAACUCUUGAGUUACAGACCCACAAUCUUUGAUAUCUGAUGCACUUUUUUUCUCUGUGCAGAGCCUUGAAAAAUCAAGGGUUUAAAAUCAUUGAGAGGGGUGAAAUUGAAGUGAAAGGUAAAGGGAGAAUGACCACAUACUUUUUGAUCCAGAACUUGAAUGCCACAGAGGAUGAGAUCAUGGGGAGAUCUAAAACCCCAGUUGAUCACAAGGGGUCAACACAGAAAGCAUCCUUGCCCACCACCAAGCUCCAGGGCUCAGUUCAACCAUCUUGCCCUGAACACUCUUCUCUUGC